CCUACGGGUGGCUGCAGUGAGGAAUAUUGGUCAAUGGGCGCGAGCCUGAACCAGCCAAGUAGCGUGAAGGAUUACUGCCCUACGGGUUGUACACUUCUUUUAUAAAGGAAUAAAGUGAGGCACGUGUCCCUUUUUGUAUGUACUUUAUGAAUAAGGAUCGGCUAACUCCGUGCCAGCAGCCGCGGGAAUACGGAGGAUACGAGCGUUAUCCGGAAUUCUUGGGUUUAAAGGGAGCGUAGAUGGGUUGUUAACUCAGUUGUGAAAGUUUGCGGCUCAAACGUAAAAUUGCAAUUGAUACUGGCAGUCUUGAGUACAGUUGAGGUAGGCGGAAUUCGUGGUGUAGCGGUGAAAUGCUUAGAUAUCACGAAGAACUCCGAUUGCGAAGGCAGCUUACUAAACUGCCACUGACAUUGAUGCUCGAAAGUGUGGGGAUCGAACAGGAUUAGAUACCCGAGUAGUC
rnacentral:rRNA from 1 species